UUCCCUUUUCACAACUCAAAAUCCCCAGAAUUGAACCCUAGGUAGCCAACUCCUCAAAUUCGAGAGCCCGUCGCCCCCUUCUUCUCCGGCGAGACCGUCGUUCGGUCGGGACCCGCCGGCGCCACGUACCUAACUCCACCAUUACCUCAUUAUAUCGACUCCUCUUUCUCAUUCCUUAUCUUCAAAGAAAUCUCUAAUCAAAAACCCUAAACACAAAAACAAAUCCCUCAAAUUGAAAGGGAUUUGAUGAGUAUGAAGGGUUUUUUUUUUAUAGAGGAGGGUGUGUACUGAGUGUAGAAUUAGAGGCUGCCGAGAUUGGUUAGGAGCAAAGAUGCAGAGCUGCUGCAACUGUGCUGCGGCUGCCCCCUUUCAGACUAGUGGCAGCGUUCGGUUAUGAGCUGAGAAGUGCAAGAGUUGCUGCUAUAUUGCCCCUUCUGACAAGCCUCUGGUCUUCCACCUAAAGGUUCUUGUAUUCCAAGGAGAAAGUGAAGUUUGGUUGGCUGUGGCCGCUGGUAGUCCUCGGCGAACAGACCGCACUCACGGCUAGAAAUAGAGACGACUUGGGUUCUUGAAGAAUAGAUACAAGCAGUGGCGGAUCCAGGAAUUUAUAUUCGGGGGUGCGACUUGCGAGUCAUAUGAUAAAUCAUUAUAUAACAUACCAAAAAUAAAAAUUAAUACUAAAAGCAAUAUAUUUUGAAAUAUA